rnacentral:rRNA from 1 species
UACGGGGGGAGCAAGCGUUGUUCGGAUUUACUGGGCGUAAAGGGCGCGUAGGCGGGAUGGCAAGUCGGUCGUGAAAUCCCCGUCGGCUACCACCGAGGAACGUCGAUCGAUACUGCUGUUCUUGAGGAUUGCAGAGGAGACUGGAAUUCCCGGUGUAGCGGUGAAAUGUGUAGAGAUCGGGAGGAACACCCGUGGCGAAGGCGGCCAGCUGGGCCGACCCUGACACUGAGGCGCGAAGGCGUGGGGAGCGAACGGG